rnacentral:rRNA from 1 species
AUCGAUGAAGAACGCAGCGAAAUGCGAUAAGUAAUGUGAAUUGCAGAAUUCAGUGAAUCAUCGAAUCUUUGAACGCACCUUGCGCCCUUUGGCUAUUCUGAAGGGCAUGCCUGUUUGAGUAUCAUGGAACACCUCAACUCUCAUGGUUUACCGUGAUGAGCUUGGACUUUGGAGGUCUUGCUGGCCAGCGGCCGGCUCCUCUCAAAUGAAUCAGCUUGCCAGUGUUUGGUGGCAUCACGGGUGUGAUAACUAUCUACGCUUGUGGUUUUCUGCCAGGUAACCUUCAGUGAUGGAGGUUCGCUGGAGCUCACAAAUGUCUCUCCUCAGCGAGGACAACUUUAUGAAUGUUUGAUCUCAAAUCAGGUAGGACUACCCGCUGAACUUAAGCAUAUCAAUAAGCGGAGGAAAAGAAACUAACAAGGAUUCCCCUAGUAACUGCGAGUGAAGCGGGAAGAGCUCAAAUUUAAAAUCUGGCUGCCUCUGGCCGUCCGAGUUGUAGUCUGGAGAAGCGUUUUCCGUGUUGGACCGUGUAUAAGUCUCUUGGAACAGGGCGUCAUAGAGGGUGAGAAUCCCGUCUUUGACACGGACUGCCAAUGCUUUGUGAUGCGCUCUCAAAGAGUCGAGUUGUUUGGGAAUGCAGCUCAAAAUGGGUGGUAAAUUCCAUCUAAAGCUAAAUAUAGGCGAGAGACCGAUAGCGAACAAGUACCGUGAGGGAAAGAUGAAAAGCACUUUGGAAAGAGAGUUAAACAGUACGUGAAAUUGCUGAAAGGGAAACGCUUGAAGUCAGUCACGUCUGCCAGGACUCAGCCUCGCUUCUGCUUGGUGUACUUUCUGGUUUGAUGGGCCAACAUCAAUUUUGACCGUUGGAGAAAGGCUUUGGGAAUGUGGCACCUUCGGGUGUGUUAUAGCCCUUUGUUGUAUGCAACGGUUGGGAUUGAGGACUGCAGCACGCCUUCAUGGCCGGGGUUCGCCCACGUACGUGCUUAGGAUGUUGGCAUAAUGGCUUUAAGCGACCCGUCUUGAAACACGG